rnacentral:lncRNA from 1 species
CAGUGUUUCCAUGUGGCCCCCACAGAGUUCUCAUCAAGGUGCCCCACCCGGGCCUGCCUGCUUUGAGAGGGUGUUGCUACAUCUUCCAAACUUUCCACACCUGCCCUUUCUCUGCUCUUCAGUGUCUCCUUCCUGAGAGACCCUCUUUGUGUAAGAGGUCCUUGCUGGUCCAGGUGAUGCCAGCGACUUCCCAGCCAGCAGAUUUACCACAUGGCAGAGCCAUGAAGAGGACUCCGAAGCUCUUGUCACACGUGGCAGGGGCCGGUUAGAAGACUCGGCGGCUGCGCCAGCGCUGAUGAGCGAGGACAGAGGAGCAUGAAACUGGUGCUUUCCUGUAAAAUAUUCAAAAGCAGAUGGCCUCUGGAUCAGUGCCAGAGCCAUUCCCCGGGCAGAGAAGCAUCUAGACCUUGUCACUA